CAUUCUCUUAGCAACCCUGGGGAGCAGCGUGAGAGCUGGACUCUCAAACCCCCUAUCUGGCACCAGAACCAGGGAAAGGCAUGGAGACAAUUAAGGAGACUAUCUGCAAGAAGGGUGGUGGUCCCCUUGGAGGUCAGCCCCAAGAAGCACCAUCUGGAAGCAAUCCAGAGAGACACUGCACUGGGGGCCUUAGAGAGAGUGUUCACUGGUUGGAUGCUGCAGAGCCUUUGAAAGGGUUGGAAAAGAAGUAUAUCUUAUGCUCGUCUGCUUUGAUUGUGGUCAGCACCAUUGGGCAGCCUGUACAGAAUGAGGAGUAGCUGUGCCCAGGAGGAGGUCAAGUUUCUCACAGACACCAUGGAUUCAGUGAGCACGGCGGCUGCUGGGCACCUGCAGUGUCUCCAUGCAGGAAUGGCAGAGUCUCAACACACUCAAUCGGAAGGGCAGGAACCCACACAAGCUGAGGAGCAAAAGCCCAGGCUUGUUCACUGUGCUGUGAACACAUGACUGUGCAGCCAUGCCAACCUUGUGUCUUUUAAGACUUCCAGACAGUAUAUUUAGAGCUUGUUCUGUCUAACUUCCUAUGAUAUGUUCUUACUCCCUGGCUUCUGUUAAAACCUUCUUCCAAAAAAGCUUCAUACUCCAAGGCUCCCAGCAGGUGUGGAUCCCAGCAAGCAGCUCAACCAACUUCCACACUGGCCCAUGGUGCCCUCCAUGUGGGCUCACACUGAGAGCUCUGGCUAGAUGUUACACUCCUAUGCUUUGCCCACAGCCUUGUGGUCCUUGGUCAUCAAGAAAUGAGGUCACUCAGCAGUGUCUGGGCCAAUAGACACCCACAGUUCUCCUGGUAUUCCAUACUGGACUUUGGCUGGGGUCCAGUCAGCCCAUGAUGCAUUCCUAGAACCAGCUACACUAUUUUUUUUUCCUUUUUUCUUUGCAGUGUUGGGAUUGGAAACCAGGACCUUGUGCAUGGUAGACAAGCCUACACUCCCACCCUGGAAGAUUCCAGGCAAGGGCUCCACCCACUGGCCACUCUACAAGCCCCUCACUGGGAGAUUCUAGGUAGAAGCUCUACCCCUGGGUCACACCCCAGACUUUUUAUUGACUCAAACCCAGUACUAAGGUGUACUUCCCAAGUGAGGACACCAUAUGACUGCCUAGACUUACCCAUGCAGGCAUACCAUGCUGGCCCCAGACCUAAGUAUCAUCAGGCUGUAGUGUCUUCUCACAGCAGAACCUUUGCUGGAGGUGUCUGUCUGGGGUUUUGUGUGCACUGCACAUGAACUCCAUGGUCAUGGCUGGUUCCUAACGUUUUCACGUUGGGGUACAAACUCUCAUAAGCUUCUUCUUUUGGGAUCCAGGAUAAGAGGUUGGCUACCUUAUCCUAGACAGUCAUAGGUUGUGUUUGUUCGGUGCCUAGAACUUGGCUCCUAAUAAGUGGGGAUUGAGGGUGCAUUCAGCUCGCCCAUUGAUGGCUUCCUGCUGAAGCCCACGUUACUGCAGAAGUAAAUACACCUGCCAGAGCCUGGUGUGCAGUGAGAUACGACAUGGGGAGGGAUACAGUGCAGGUGGUAAUCUCUGGACAGCAGGAAGCCAUCCCCACACCCCUAGGGAGCAGAAGGAACCACCAGCCCUGCUUGGAGUAACUUCCAGUAAAGGGGGUUAGGAGGAUGAGGUGUCAUGCAUGCUGGGCUGUGGGUGGCCCUCAGUCCUCAUAGCCCUGGCCUCCAGAGCCCACAAGUUCUUUCUCUGAGGCCCUGACCCUGCAGGAACCUGAAGAAACUCCAGAGCUGGCAUUGUGAGCAGUGUGUGUCCUGCACGUGGAGGAUGAGAGCUGGAAGGGACUCAAGGACUUGGAGAGCACUGGUGGCAUGGACUGCCCCUUCUGCCUGGGCACACACAAGGUGGUGUUUAUCCUCCUCUCCAAGGAUUGCACGUCAGUGGCACCUUCUGUCAGGCCAAGCAGAUCCACAUGCAUGCACAUUUACCGGAGCCCUGAGUGCUUGAUCCCCAUACCUGUGACCCUCAAGCCCAGCACUUUGAGCCCAUGAGCCCCGCACCCUGAAACCCUGAGCCUAUGAGCCCCUUAUCAUGAGCCCCACACUCUAUCCCCAGAAGUUCAUACCUACAAAGCCCUAAAGAAGCAUAGCUACACUUUAUAUUUUUGAAAAGGCUAUUACAAUCCAUAACUACCUUCCUAUCAGGUGUCCAAGGGCAGCCAUGGCUUAUGGGUGAGUGUCACUAAGUCUGACACAAGAGAAUACUCCUUAGCUUAAUUUUCUGUUUGGGUUUUUGGUGUUUGCUUUUUGGUUUGAGGUUUUGUUAUUUAUUUAUUUUAAAAUUUAUUUUGUUCUUGUCAAUGUGAUAUUUGCUAAGGUGGUAUAUACUGACUGACAUUUUGUAUUCCCUAUUAAGUUAAAUGACUGUAUUUUUAUGCAUGAAAAAGCAUUUAUCUGUACACUUAA